UAAGCUUGAAUGUUGGUGUCCAUGGACCUAGC
rnacentral:piRNA from 1 species